rnacentral:piRNA from 1 species
UCCUUCCAUUGAUCUCACUAUUGCCUG